rnacentral:rRNA from 1 species
GACGAAGGUGGCUAGCGUUGUUCGGAAUUACUGGGCGUAAAGCGCGUGUAGGCGGUUGUCCAAGUUGGAUGUGAAAGCCUUGAGCUUAACUCAAGAAAUGCAUUCAGGACUGGAUGACUAGAGGACCGGAGAGGAUAGUGGAAUUCCCAGUGUAGUGGUGAAAUACGUAGAGAUUGGGAAGAACACCAGUGGCGAAGGCGGCUAUCUGGACGGUUUCUGACGCUAAGACGCGAAAGCGUGGGGAGCAAACAGG